rnacentral:rRNA from 1 species
GAUGAACGCUGGCGGCGUGCCUAAUACAUGCAAGUAGAACGCUGAAGGAAGGAUCUUGCUCUUUCCGGGUGAGUUGCGAACGGGUGAGUAACGCGUAAGUAACCUGCCUGGUAGCGGGGGAUAACUAUUGGAAACGAUAGCUAAUACCGCAUAACAGUAGAUGUUGCAUGAUAUCUACUUAAAAGUUGCAAUUGCACCACUACCAUAUGGACCUUCGGUGUAUUAGCUAGUUGGUGAGGUAACGACUCACCAAGGCGUCGAUACAUCGCCGACCUGAGAGGGUGAGCGGCCACACUGGGAAGGAGAAGCGGCCCAGAGUGCUACGGGAGGCAGCAGUAGGGCAACUGCGGCAAAGGACGGGAGACUGACCGAGAAGGGCCGCGGAAGUGAAGACGGUUUUCGGGUGGGAAAGAUCGGUUGUAAGGGAAGAAAGAGUGUGAGAGUGGAAAGUUCACAAUGUGACGGUAUCUUACCAGAAAGAGACGGCUAACUACGUG